ACACGUCAGCUGUCGCUCAGGAUUCGAGGAAGGGAAGGACUGUUCUACACGACGGCGGUUGUCCCUGCUUUUGUAUCCACGUCCGGGGAUCUUCGGUUAAGUCCAUUUUAUUGAAGAAGCCAUCGAUCUAGAACAACCUGGUAGUAUCAGUCCCCUUCGUAAAACCACGGUGUGACGUGACUUGCCCUCGAAGAUGGACGGUACCCUGGAACUACCAACUGAAAUAAAUCCUUCCUUCCUCCGUUGCUUUUGGUCGAGGCGUUUUAUCACAGUAACAGACAUGAAAUUGGGACACCACCUAAGUCCAGCUUGUGCAGGGGCAUGAAGGAAAGAGAACGCAGUCACGUCUGUGCCAAAGAGCCCCUCCUGGGAUCCCAAACAUGGAGCUCUUGGGAAGAACAUGAUAGAAGAACAUAGAAGAGAGAGUAAGGAAAGUGGGUCUGCCUGUGGUGUGUUGUGAAGGACGUGAGUUGAGCAGGAACUUUGGUGUUGGUGUUAGCUUUUGUGGCAUGGCUGAGCCCUGAAGACCGUGGUCAGGUAGAAGAGGCUCUUGUGGACCUCAGUGACUGCAGUCAGCAUUCAAGUUGGGUUGUAAAGUGCUAAAGCAAUUGAGCAGAUGAGAAAAAGAAAGACAGAAAAGGGCGGGCACUAGGGUAACUCAAAAGCAAACUGGGAGAUGUUCAGUGGGCAAAGUGCUUUGCAGGUGUGAGAAACGAGUUUGAAUCCCUAGCACCCACAGAAAAGCUAGGUCUGAGGCCUGGGUCUAAACCAGUGCCGGAGACAGUGGGGGUGGGCUGGUAUGGACACAGGCUGGUCCCUAUAGUUCACUGGCUUGCUGAAGUAGUGACCUCCAGGUCCACUGAGCGAGCCUGUCUCAAGAAAUAAAAGUGUAGAGUGAUUGAGGGAGGUCUCCAAUGUCAGCCACUGGGUGCUACACAUACAUGUACAGGCAAACAUACACAUACCACACAUGACUUUUUUUUUUUAAUCAAAUAUAGUAAGGGUUCUGUUAAAUUGAAGUUCUCAAGGGAAAAAAAUGACAAGAAGCUGAAGUCUGUGCUUGUGAGCCUCUGGGAAGCUUAAAAAUCUAAGCAAUUCCUCCCCAGACGUGCAAUCUCCAUUGUAUCCUCUUCUGUUGGAAGAAUGUCUCAGGUGAGAACCACCUGUUUAGUCAGUGCCCUCUUGAAGUGCAGUGAGAGAUUGAGUGACCAUGGCAACUCUUAUAAUAGAAAACACAUGGCCGGGUGGUGGUGGUACACGCCUUUAAUCCCAGCACUUGGGAGGCAGAGGUAGGCGAAUUUCUGAGUUCGAGGUCAGCCUGGUCUACAGGGUGAGUUCCAGCACAGCCAGGGCUACACAGAGAAACCCUGUCUUGAAAAACAAAAACAACAACAACAAAAGAAAACAAAUGGGGCUAGAGUGAUGGCUCAGUGGUUAAGAGUGCCAACUUCCUCUAGAGGUCCUGAGUUCAAAUUCCAGCAACCACAUGGUGGCUCACAACCAUCUGUAAUGGAAUCUGAUGCCCUCUUCUGGUGUGUCUGAAGACAGCUAUAGUGUACUCAUAUACAUAAAAUAAAUAAAUCUUAAAAAAAAAAAACAUGUAAAUGGGCCUGGCUUACAGUUUGAGAGGGUUAGACUAUUAUCAUCAGGGCAGGAAGCAUGGCGGCACCCAGGAAGACAUGGUCCUGGAGAAGUAGGUGAGAGUUCUACAUCCAGAUCCACUGGAAGCAGGGAGAAAAAGAUAUUGGCCUGUGAAGAGGUAACUUAAGAGUUCUUUGGAAAGUUAGCUGGGGCAAACACAUGAAAGAACGUUUCUCUGAAGCAGACACAGGAGAAAGGAUGUUCUGCUAAAGCAAGCACAUGAAAGGACAAGUAAUGAAGGAUUCUUUGCUAACAACACACAUGUACUGCUUCCGUAGAGUGGUGCUGAGGCAAGACACAUGCUGAAGCAGGGCACAUGGUAUUUGGAGGGUAUAAAUAGGACUCCAUGGAGUGAUGGAGACAGAGUUUGGCUGGCUGGUGUGUUGACCAUGCCCUGGACAGCUCUCUCUGUCAUACCCUACUUCCCCUUGGGGGUUAAGAGUGAGUUGGUGGCAGAGUCAACGACACAGAUUCUGGGAGCAGGUGGAGAAACACUGCAGCAAGCUCACUGAACGCUGCUACAGCUCCUGUACUAUCCUCCACCCACACCCCGAUUGGUCCCAAGAAAGCAUCUUUUCUAAACAGCAGAUGCUGACUGGCUCGAGUAAUUUGCUCCUGAAAUCCUUAGUCUCAAGUCUUUGCUGAUCUUCACUUCCCUGAGAGAGGCACAGCUGAGAACUUCUACUGUUCCUGUUGGUCCCUCCUGCUGAGGCCUGGCUGUCUCUGCUAGGCCCUGUCACCACUGUUGCUAACCUAACUACUGAACUGGACUGCUGGUGUAUCUGUGAAGUGUUUGCGAGGGAGUCGAGCUGCCGCUGCCUGCUAACCUGUGAACUGAACUGCUGAUAUUCAUACAGCACAGAUGGGAGUUGCUCAAAGAACUUUUCUAAAAGGUCCACUUUUUCCUGUAUCCUUUCUUUUUUACUACCUCUGUUGGGUGGUGGGCUACAAGGGAGGUUAAAGCAUUUAAGAGCCACCAUUAAGAAUAGAAUUUGAGGGGAGAGGGGAGAAAAAAAAAAGAAUAGAAUUUGAAAAAAAUUAAAAGUUCUAGCCCUGGCUUGAGCUUUUGUAACCUCAAAGCCCACUCCUGAGUGGUAUACUCCUGCCACGCUCUCCGGUCGAGUCAGCUUGACAGGCUGAGGCUUGAAAGCUACUCACGAGGCAAAAGAGUUUCACGGAAACUCGCUCCUGGAGUCUGGCGUUCUCUCUAAUCCAUACAUUAAUUUUCCAUUCCCGCGUUAGUCUAGUGUAUGGAUCCAUGUGCUCUCUUUUAGUAUUAUCCUAUUAUAAGUGCCUUUUAAGAUUGAAUUCUGACAUAGCUAAAGCCUUCUGCCAGUGUUCCAACAGUCCUAGAACGUCCUUGAGCAAGACCAUGGGCUUGAAAUUCAGUAAGAAUGUUGCUAUUCAGUGACAUUCAGAAUAGCCUCUGGUACUAUAAUAGUGUACUAUCACUUUGAAUAAAAGCCAAGUCGCUCCCAUAUACAGGAAUUUACCAUCACUAAGGAAGAAGGAAGUUUCAGACCAAAGGAGAAACCAGAAUAGAUACUUAGAACUAUAGUGUUACACUCAUACACACGUAUUUACAAUGGCCUAAGGGGAAGGUGGACUAUACAAUAGACUAAAAUAGGAACUGUGGCAAGGGCAUGAAGCCCUUGACCCUGGCUUCUAAGAUUAAGUGAAUCUUAGGUGGAGCCCUUGUUGAUCCCAGUUGUUAACAAUGAAUUCUAUCCCAGGUGGUUCCCGUUAGACCUUCUGUGUUUGCAUUCCUCUGUUUUAUGUAAGAUUCCAGUAACCUCUUUGUACCUUGCUGGUGUGUCACCCAACUUCCUUAUUGUCUGCUACAUAAAAAUUUUGAUGCUCGAUUUGACAAUACAUUCAGAUUCUACACAA
rnacentral:lncRNA from 1 species